rnacentral:rRNA from 1 species
GCAGUCUGCAACUCGACUGCAUGAAGCUGGAAUCGCUAGUAAUCGCGAAUCAGAAUGUCGCGGUGAAUACGUUCCCGGGCCUUGUACACACCGCCCGUCACACCAUGGGAGUUGGAAGCACCCGAAGUCGGUGACCUGACCGAAAGGGAGGAGCCGCCGAAGGUGAAGCCAGCGACUGGGGUGAAGUCGUAACAAGGUACC